UACGUAGGGUGCGGGCGUAAUCGGAAUUACUGGGCGUAAAGCGUGCGCAGGCGGCGCGUUAAGACAGGUGUGAAAGCCCCGAGCUUAACUUGGGAAUUGCGCUUGUGACUGGCGAGCUGGAGUGUGGCAGAGGGAGGUGGAAUUCCACGUGUAGCAGUGAAAUGCGUAGAGAUGUGGAGGAACACCGAUGGCGAAGGCAGCCUCCUGGGCCAGCACUGACGCUCAUGCACGAAAGCGUGGGGAGCAAACAGG
rnacentral:rRNA from 1 species